UACGGAGGGUGCAAGCGUUAUCCGGAUUCACUGGGCUUAAAGGGUGCGUAGGCGGAUUGGUAAGUCCGUGGUGAAAUCUCUAAGCUUAACUUGGAAACUGCCAUGGAUACUAUUAGUCUUGAAUAUUGUGGAGGUUAGCGGAAUAUGUCAUGUAGCGGUGAAAUGCAUAGAUAUGACAUAGAACACCAAUUGCGAAGGCAGCUGGCUACACAAAUAUUGACGCUGAGGCACGAAAGCGUGGGGAGCAAACAGG
rnacentral:rRNA from 1 species